UUCUUUGUUCUUCAUACUACUUUAGCAGUAACAAAAAAAUGCAAACAACUAGUUUCAAAUUCCUGACGUCUUCGACAAAGAUUAAAGUAUUAUAUUUUUUACAAAUUUAAAAGUGAUUUCGAGUAAAUUCAAACUACAUGAGCGAACUCAAAUAACAGCUUAGGUCAUGAAAGUCAUGCGCUUGAACAAGUCGAAGGUAUCCCUUCAUACAUUUACCAGUAGAAAUGAAUUUAAGACUUAGGUAGCAUGCAUUUCCACUACCGUCCAUUAACAGGCUCAAACAAACCGAGCCUGCAAAAUUAUUUUGUUGUGUUGAGCGACCUAUGGAGAUUCCAUUUUUUCUAUUUUAGCCUAACAUUUUGAGAAAAAAAUCAAACAAUACCAGAUCAUAGAAAGAAAAGGGUGUUUCAUGUGAAAAUUUAACAGCAUAUAAAACAUGUAUAUUACUUUAUACAACAAUUAUCAGUUUAAUAAUAUUUAUAUAGAAAAGCGGAAAGGAGUUGCAUAAAGGUGCCACACUUUCGGACAGUUCAGCGCCUUUAGAAACGCACCAUUUUCAACGAAAUGUUACAUAUGUUUUCGUUUCGAUGCAUUGCAAUAAUGUCCCAGUGCUAAAAUUUCACAUAACUACGUUGAACGUAGUUUUCUGCUAUUGUUUAUUUUUAUUUCUUUACAAAUGGUACUCAUUUUUAAAGGGGGACAAAGUUUUGAGAAUCGUGCAGGACAGUACGUCAUAAUAUGAAAUGGUCAGGUAGAUUGUUGGUAAUGAUGUUGCUCGUUUUUCAAAUAUUUCUGUGUUUUCAAGAUAUACUUCUAAACCUUAAGACCAAAACAUACCUAAAUUACCUUUUUAUAAUGAAUUCACAGUUCGCAUUUACUGGACUUCUAAACAGGGAGACUUGAUUUUGAAUCCCUAUCGGACCUGUCCUGGAAUGACCUAACUGAAAAUUAUUAUAGUAUGAUUAUUCUAUCAGAAAUGUACUAAAUUUACUGAUAUUGAAGAACUCAAAUCUUUGUCAUAAAAUUUAACAUUGUCAGGACAACAUGCAUUUCAGUACAUACAACCUGUCUUAUCUCACGGACUCAAAUUUAUUAAAAAAGGUUUUCCAUCCGUUUACGGCAUAUUUUAGUUGUAUCGAAAUCGUAGAGCUGUCAAUUGUUACUAGCAAGCACAGUUGAAGAUCCAAGUACAUCUAAACAUUGAUUCUAGCAUAAAACUACUGUUUUGUCACUUUUCGGGGGUGUUUUAACAGGAGAGAAAACGUGUGUUAACACAGAGAUUCUCGCGCUCGCGUGCUGUUAUAACACCUUUUUAUAUAUGCGCGUUCCGUGGCAAAGCAUAAACGUCAUUCGACCCCAAAACGGAUAAUUCAAAACGAAAUGACGUCAACGUUAAAAACAACCUAGACAUUCCCGCGCAUUUGGUGGAACAUUAAUGACGUUGAGAGACAUUUUAUCCAUUUAUCAGCGGUUUCUACGCGUUUUGUGCUAGAAUAGCGUUAGCGCAUGUUCAUUUCGUGUUAUAACAUUUACAGAAUCCCUCGGGAUACGUUGGUACCCUCGCCCUAACGGGCUCGUGUACCAACCAAUCCCUCGGGAUUCUGCAGACUUUAUAACACGAAAAAACAUGCGUUAUCUCUACAUUUGUCUCUAAUAAUAAUUUAGGUUUUUCUCAAUCUCAUUUUAAACGUAUAUAUAGCGGAUUCCCUAAUUCACGACCGGAUAAUGUGCCACUGUUCAAAGUAUUUAAUUCGGUAUUCGUUUGGUUGCUUUCCCUUCCGGCAUUAAGUAUAUGUACGGCUCAUCUGGAUUUCUUUUAUUAAUUCUUUACCUUUUAGCACUUUUAUAACAUAUCGUGCUAUUUGAUGCUUUUCUUUUAUUCUAAAAGAAAAAAAUGAAACAUGUCUUCUAAUAGUAUUUACAAGAAGUGCCGCAUGUUAUAUUAUACACCUUCAAUAGUGUUAGAAUAAUAAAUUAUGAAUGGAGACAACAUCGAUAGCUAUCUGAUUGCCGGCCAGCAUUCAUACCUACUGUUAGCUUCAGUGCUUUUUAUUGCAAAUUGUUACGUUAAAAAUCUUGACUGGAACGUCUCAAGGGGAAUUUAAUCUUUAAGUUCUAAUAAAAUUUGCUAUCAAAAUUUGUAAACAUAGGGCCACGCACUAAAUAAUUCAUCUUUUGCUGAUGACGUUGCCACAUUUUCGGCAGCUAGUUUUCUUGACCCUUCGCCGAAAUCUGAAGAAAAAUGCUUACGAAAUGUUCGCUUUUUUUUGCAUAGCUCUUUUUCCGGGACCAUGCACUAUAAACAUUUCUCAUAGUGACGUAAUAACAUUUCCAGCGGCCUGCGUUCUGGAGACAUAACCAAAAUCUAAAGUUACACGUUUUGCAGUGUUACUCUCUAGUAUUUAUUGAAGCCGCAUGAGUCAAGUGUUCUGCUUUCAAGGUCCAUAAACUCUUUAACGACUAUCGCGUGAUGACGAUAUUGCGUCAAUUUCAGGAGCAUGAACUCGUCAGUCGCAAUCAACAUUUGGAAUAUCAUCAAGAUUAGACUGAAUAAUUCUUUUUCUUGGUCCCACAAAUGCUCAUAUAAGGAUUAUAAGGAUUAUUGAGAGGCGAAAAGAAAAUCAAUACGCGUAAAAUUAUGACAAGUUGGCAAAAAUGCUUAAAAGUACACAUUUGUAUUAAUAAAUUAAGUGGCGGCAUCAGAGGGAAACAUGAAAAAGGACGAUUUAGAAAAAAAAGCUAUUGUGACAUGUAAGCGGUCAAAAUAUGAACAACCGUUAAAAUCAGUGGGAUAGAUGCUUUUUCAGAAGCAAAGGAUGAGCUCUUUUAGCGACAAUAUUUAUUCUUUUUGUUUUCAGCAAGCAGACAUGUAUUAAAAUAAUGAACUCGAAACCUUUUUAUUCACAUCUAUUGGGAUAUUAUUAUGUUAACUACUAGUAUUGUAACACUAUUUAUAUGUUUCAGAAUUAUAUUUCGAUGUACUGCGUCUCAGCGAUAUAUGACCUUUUUGUGUCUCUUCACCGUAAAACCAAACUCCCUCGCUCACAUGUCAAAACAUGACCAGUAUCUUAUGCUGUCUCUGUUGUACAAUUCAUUAAUUGUAUUAGUACAAUGAUUUUCACGAAGCUGUCACGAAUUGAACUUAAAAGCUAAUUUUGAUAUUUUUUUUCUAAAUAUGGAACUUGAUAAUCUUUAAUUAAACAUGAAAGGUCACGAAUUCUGUUCUGAUAGCAACAUAAUAUGUUAAACAGAACAAAAUGACGGGCAACAUUACUGUGUUAUUGUUUUGCCUUGUAAUAAACGUUCACAUUUUUGUCAGCGAGGUGCAAGGGUCGCAGAAGAAAGGUGUGGCAGCAUGGGGUGAGGUCCUUCUAUGCAAUGAUUUCAAGGUUCUAAGUAAUAUUUCAUGGUGGUAUGACUGGAAGAACAAUCUCACAUUUUACCAUAGAACAGUAACAGCAAAUUGUCCAACUCCAGAAAACGCAAUGCCAGAGUUUGUGCCGAUGGUUUGGAGAAACUGUCUCUAACUGGAUGUCAUGAGUAAUGUAUCUUUCGUGUUGGCAUUUAACGAGCCAGACCGGCUGGACCAAACAUACAUGACACCACAGCAAGUGGCUGACCUUUGGCCUCAAAUUGAAAAGAACUCCACUUCUUUUCAUAAUUUUCAUUGGUACAACGAAUUCUUCAGAAUAUGCAAUAGCUGUCGUACAGACUUUGUUGCCGCACAUGCGUAUAGUUGCGAUGCAAGCCAUAAUGUCAUAUUUGCAAAAACUGCACCAUAGAUGCAAGAAGAAGAUUUGGUUGACAGAGUUUGCAUGUCCUCAUUCGGCGGACGAGAAUCACCAACUGCAUUUAAUGCAUACUUUACUAACACAGGUGGCAGCUGCGGAUUACGUAUUUAGAUAUUCCUGGUUCAUGGCUAGAGUGAAGCGUGUGUUUGAUAAUGGAUAUAUUCACCCUGCUGCAAGUCUCCUUCGUAACGAAUCCUCAACGCUGACGAAGAUUGGCCAGUUCCUCAAUGAUUGCCAUGGCAACGCCAACGUUCCUCAAGUUGUCGGUUGAUUUAUCGAAUAAAAUGACAAUGUUUGGAAAUUGUAUGC